GGGGAAUUUUCCGCAAUGGGCGAAAGCCUGACGGAGCAAUACCGCGUGAGGGAGGAAGGCUCUUGGGUCGUAAACCUCUUUUCUCAGGGAAGAACACAAUGACGGUACCUGAGGAAUAAGCAUCGGCUAACUCCGUGCCAGCAGCCGCGGUAAUACGGAGGAUGCAAGCGUUAUCCGGAAUGAUUGGGCGUAAAGCGUCCGCAGGUGGCGAUGUAAGUCUGCUGUUAAAGAGUGAGGCUCAACCUCAUAAGAGCAGUGGAAACUACAUAGCUAGAGUACGUUCGGGGCAGAGGGAAUUCCUGGUGUAGCGGUGAAAUGCGUAGAGAUCAGGAAGAACACCAGUGGCGAAGGCGCUCUGCUAGGCCGUAACUGACACUGAGGGACGAAAGCUAGGGGAGCGAAUGGGAUUAGAUACCCCAGUAGUCCUAGCCGUAAACGAUGGAUACUAGGCGUGGCUUGUAUCGACCCGAGCCGUGCCGUAGCUAACGCGUUAAGUAUCCCGCCUGGGGAGUACGCCGGCAACGGUGAAACUCAAAGGAAUUGACGGGGGCCCGCACAAGCGGUGGAGUAUGUGGUUUAAUUCGAUGCAACGCGAAGAACCUUACCAAGGCUUGACAUGUCGCGAAUCUCGGUGAAAGCUGAGAGUGCCUUCGGGAGCGCGAACACAGGUGGUGCAUGGCUGUCGUCAGCUCGUGUCGUGAGAUGUUGGGUUAAGUCCCGCAACGAGCGCAACCCUCGUUUUUAGUUGCCAGCAUUAAGUUGGGCACUCUAGAGAGACUGCCGGUGACAAACCGGAGGAAGGUGGGGAUGACGUCAAGUCAGCAUGCCCCUUACGCCUUGGGCUACACACGUACUACAAUGCUCCGGACAGAGGGCAGCAAGCCAGCGAUGGCAAGCAAAUCCCGUAAACCGGAGCUCAGUUCAGAUCGCAGGCUGCAACUCGCCUGCGUGAAGGAGGAAUCGCUAGUAAUUGCAGGUCAGCAUACUGCAGUGAAUUCGUUCCCGGGCCUUGUACACACCGCCCGUCACACCAUGGAAGCUGGUAGUGCCCGAAGUCAUUACUCCAACCAUUCGUGGAGGAGGAUGCCUAAGGCAGGACUGGUGACUGGGGUGAAGUCGUAACAAGGUAGCCGUACCGGAAGGUGUGGCUGGAUCACCUCCUU
rnacentral:rRNA from 1 species